rnacentral:lncRNA from 1 species
AGAGAGGCCAAGACCGGCAAUCGACAGUGAUCGCCGGCGUCGAAAAAUGAAAGAGAAGAAGAGACCAAACAGGGGUCCCUUCUUCGAUGAAAUUCGAUGACAUCCAUCACUGGCAGUCAUGCCCACAGGCAUGAGAAAGAAGGGAGAGGAGAGAGGAAGCGGAAGAAAGACUUACCUCAGCCUUCGGUGAUCCCGCCAGCGAGAAAUCACGGCGAGCACGAAUCAAGGGCCGCGGCUUCAAUCGGAGAAAUCAGAGAGGAAGAG